CCUACGGGGGGCUGCAGUAAGGAAUAUUGGUCAAUGGAGGCAACUCUGAACCAGCCAUGCCGCGUGCAGGAUGACGGUCCUAUGGAUUGUAAACUGCUUUUGUACGAGAGAAAACCCCGUUACGUGUAGCGGGUUGAUAGUAUCGUAAGAAUAAGGAUCGGCUAACUUCGUGCCAGCAGCCGCGGUAAGACGAAGGAUCCAAGCGUUAUCCGGAUUCAUUGGGUUUAAAGGGUGCGUAGGCGGGUUUAUAAGUCAGUGGUGAAAGCUAGCAGCUU
rnacentral:rRNA from 1 species